GUGCUUACUUCAGCAACACAUACUAAAAUUAGAAUGAAGCAGAUUAGCAUGGCCCCUGUACAAGGAUGACACACAAAUUCAUGAAGUGUUCCUUUA
rnacentral:snRNA from 1 species